rnacentral:rRNA from 1 species
CAUAGGUUAAUGAGGCGAACCGGGGGAACUGAAACAUCUAAGUACCCCGAGGAAAAGAAAUCAACCGAGAUUCCCCCAGUAGCGGCGAGCGAACGGGGAGCAGCCCAGAGCCUGAAUCAGUGUGUGUGUUAGUGGAAGCGUCUGGAAAGGCGCGCGAUACAGGGUGACAGCCCCGUACACAAAAAUGCACAUGCUGUGAGCUCGAUGAGUAGGGCGGGACACGUGGUAUCCUGUCUGAAUAUGGGGGGACCAUCCUCCAAGGCUAAAUACUCCUGACUGACCGAUAGUGAACCAGUACCGUGAGGGAAAGGCGAAAAGAACCCCGGCGAGGGGAGUGAAAAAGAACCUGAAACCGUGUACGUACAAGCAGUGGGAGCACGCUUAGGCGUGUGACUGCGUACCUUUUGUAUAAUGGGUCAGCGACUUAUAUUCUGUAGCAAGGUUAACCGAAUAGGGGAGCCGAAGGGAAACCGAGUCUUAACUGGGCGUUAAGUUGCAGGGUAUAGACCCGAAACCCGGUGAUCUAGCCAUGGGCAGGUUGAAGGUUGGGUAACACUAACUGGAGGACCGAACCGACUAAUGUUGAAAAAUUAGCGGAUGACUUGUGGCUGGGGGUGAAAGGCCAAUCAAACCGGGAGAUAGCUGGUUCUCCCCGAAAGCUAUUUAGGUAGCGCCUCGUGAAUUCAUCUCCGGGGGUAGAGCACUGUUUCGGCAAGGGGGUCAUCCCGACUUACCAACCCGAUGCAAACUGCGAAUACCGGAGAAUGUUAUCACGGGAGACACACGGCGGGUGCUAACGUCCGUCGUGAAGAGGGAAACAACCCAGACCGCCAGCUAAGGUCCCAAAGUCAUGGUUAAGUGGGAAACGAUGUGGGAAGGCCCAGACAGCCAGGAUGUUGGCUUAGAAGCAGCCAUCAUUUAAAGAAAGCGUAAUAGCUCACUGGUCGAGUCGGCCUGCGCGGAAGAUGUAACGGGGCUAAACCAUGCACCGAAGCUGCGGCAGCGACGCUUAUGCGUUGUUGGGUAGGGGAGCGUUCUGUAAGCCUGUGAAGGUGUGCUGUGAGGCAUGCUGGAGGUAUCAGAAGUGCGAAUGCUGACAUAAGUAACGAUAAAGCGGGUGAAAAGCCCGCUCGCCGGAAGACCAAGGGUUCCUGUCCAACGUUAAUCGGGGCAGGGUGAGUCGACCCCUAAGGCGAGGCCGAAAGGCGUAGUCGAUGGGAAACAGGUUAAUAUUCCUGUACUUGGUGUUACUGCGAAGGGGGGACGGAGAAGGCUAUGUUGGCCGGGCGACGGUUGUCCCGGUUUAAGCGUGUAGGCUGGUUUUCCAGGCAAAUCCGGAAAAUCAAGGCUGAGGCGUGAUGACGAGGCACUACGGUGCUGAAGCAACAAAUGCCCUGCUUCCAGGAAAAGCCUCUAAGCAUCAGGUAACAUCAAAUCGUACCCCAAACCGACACAGGUGGUCAGGUAGAGAAUACCAAGGCGCUUGAGAGAACUCGGGUGAAGGAACUAGGCAAAAUGGUGCCGUAACUUCGGGAGAAGGCACGCUGAUAUGUAGGUGAAGUCCCUUGCGGAUGGAGCUGAAAUCAGUCGAAGAUACCAGCU